GGAUACCACUAGGGGUGCCUAAUAGGCUGAGAGAGGAAUGAACCUUAACCCUUAUGGACCUGAUCUAGGUAAUACUAGCGAAGGGAAGUGGAGCAAUGCAUAU
rnacentral:ncRNA from 2 species